rnacentral:rRNA from 1 species
UACGGGGGGGGCAAGCGUUGUUCGGAAUUACUGGGCGUAAAGGGUUCGUAGGUGGCUUGCUAAGUCAGACGUGAAAUCCCUCAGCUUAACUGGGGAACUGCGUCUGAGACUGGCGAGCUUGAGGGUAGGAGAGGAACGCAGAAUUCCAGGUGUAGCGGUGAAAUGCGUAGAUAUCUGGAGGAAUACCGGUGGCGAAGGCGGCGUUCUGGACUACAUCUGACACUGAGGAACGAAAGCCAGGGGAGCAAACGGG